GUUAGAGCACCCGUUUAGUAAGCGGGAGGUCUUGAGUUCGACUCUCAAUGAAAGCAAUUUACCUCCUUUUCUCAUGGCUAUCCCCUUUUUUUUGGGAUUUUCUUCGUUGACAAAUUCGCUAUACUCUGGCCGUCGUCGGCGUUCGCAACCGCCAUCAGAGCUCUAAAAUUAAAACCCUAAAACCCAAUUUCUCGUUAAACCGAAUCCCUAAUUCACCCUCUUUCUCCUUCCCCGCUUCCCUGCCGGCGGAGGCGAUGGCGGAGCCACCGGAGCCGAGUCUCGCGACUGUUACCUCAAGAUGUAUGCUGUUAAAAAGCCCGACAAAGUCGACCCGAAUGAGCAAAGGUUCGGUAAGUGACUCAAUUGCGCUUUACCGAAUGAACCCUUAAAAGAACCUUGCGUCAUUGAUAAACUAGGCAAUAUUUUUAACAAGGAAGCUCUUGUUCAAGCUUUGUUGGGCAAGAAGUUUCCCAAAGGGUUCAGACAUAUUAAGGGUUUUAAAGAACUGCGGGCAUGUGGUUAGUGCUAAGGCUUUGAAAGAGGUGAAGUCAUCAGCUUGCUUGGUUUGCCAUAAGGAGUUUGUGGAGUCUGAUAAGGUGGUGAUUAAUGGGCGUGAGGCGGAGGUAGCUGCUUUGCGGGAGAUGAUGAAGGAAGAGAAAGCGAAAACGGUGAAGGGGAAGAAGAAAAGAGCGAUGGAUGUUCUGGAUGGGGAGAAGGGCUUUAAGGGAUUGAGUAAUGGUGAGAUGAAGUAUAGAGCUGCGGAUGCGGCACAGGCUCAUGCUACUAAGCAAGUAUAUGCUUUGAUAUUUACCUCUUCGAAGAAGUCCGAUUUUAAGGAAACUUUUACGUGCAGAUCACUCCCACUCGGUCGAAACUGAUGAUAGGCUGGUAUUAUUCUCUAUUCUAUGCUAGUUCAUGAAGGGAGAAUAUUGAUGUUGUUUGAGUUGUAUUUUUAGGUUCUUAUAUGUAUGUGUGUAUAUAUAUUGAAACUGAAUUUAGAUAUACUUGUUUAACCUAAUUUUAGUAGGUAUGUAAUUUCGAUUGAUUGUGUAGUGUAUUUUGGUAGACACCGUUGAAUUUGGGCUUUGGUCCUCAAACAUGGAGGAAAAGAGGAAUGGGUGUUGAGGAUCGGGAGAAGGGCUUUAAGGGAUUGAAUAAUGGUGGGAUGAAGAAGUUUAGAGCUGCGGAUAUGGUGCCAGCUAAUGCUACUAAGGAAGUUUAUUCUUCCAUAUUUUACUACUUAGAAGAAGUCGGAUUUUAGGGGAACUCUUACGUGUAGAUCACUCUGCUGGGUUGAGACUGAUGGAAUGACCUUGGCUAAAUGAAAAUUAAAGCCUUCUCUCCCUAGAAGCUAUUGAUUUCAGCAGAAGGGCAAUCAGGUCGGAGAAAUAAUCAAGGCAAGAGAUAGACGAGUCCUGGCAAUCCCUAGGAAGUCUCAUGAAAGGACCUUGGUAUAUGUGGAAUGGAAUAACAUGUCAAGUCUAAAGCAUGUAAGUUUGUUUCAUAAACUAAAGUAUCAGUACGAAUUAACUUAUACAUGAUGCAGAUGCUCUAACCUUUUUCUAACAUUUGAACAUUUAAGUGAAGCUCAGAAGGUAAAACAGGUAAAUACCUGAGGAGGAUAGUUGUUUAUAUGUGCAUGUGCACACACAUAUGAUCACUUUUUAGGGACACUUAAAAUGUAUCGAAUUGAGCUUACAAGAAUUGGCAUUUCUUCAAUCACAGACAGGCAAGCCAAUUUGAGUGAAGACUCUGGAUUGCAAUUCUUGAAUGUCUGUGUAAACAAUCAAGUUUUUAAUGGUUAAAUCAUCAAUUAACGAGUA